rnacentral:rRNA from 1 species
AUUGAACGCUGGCGGCAUGCCUUACACAUGCAAGUCGAACGGCAGCACGGGAGCAAUCCUGGUGGCGAGUGGCGAACGGGUGAGUAAUAGUAUCGGAACGUGCCCAGUCGUGGGGGAUAACGUAGCGAAAGCUACGCUAAUACCGCAUACGAUCUAUGGAUGAAAGCGGGGGAUCGCAAGACCUCGCGCGAUUGGAGCGGCCGAUAUCAGAUUAGGUAGUUGGUGGGGUAAAAGCCUACCAAGCCUUCGAUCUGUAGCUGGUACUGAGAGACGACCAGCCACACUGGAACUGAGACACGGUCCAGACUCCUAC